UCUUGCACUGUUGGUGGGAAUGUAAAUUGAUACAGCCACUAUGGAGAACAGUAUGGAGGUUCCUUAAAAAACUAAAAAUAGAACUGCCAUACAACCCAGCAAUCCCACUACUGGGCAUAUACCCUGAGAAAACCAUAAUUCAAAAAAAGUCAUGUACCACAAUGUUCAUUGCAGCUCUAUUUACAACAGCCAGGACAUGGAAGCAACCUAAGUGUCCAUCGACAGAUGAAUGGAUAAAGAAGAUGUGGCACAUAUAUACAGUGGAAUAUUACUCAGCCAUAAAAAGAAAUGAAAUUGAGUUAUUUGUAGUGAGGUAGAUGGACCUACAGUCUGUCAUAUAGAGUGAAGUAAGUCAGAAAGAGAAAAACAAAUACUGUAUGCUAACACAUAUAUAUGGAAUCUAAAAAAAAAAAAUGGUUCUGAUGAACCUAGGGGCAGGACAGGAAUAAAGACGCAGACGUAGAGAACAGACUUGAGGACACGGGGAGGGGGAAGGUAAGCUGGGAUGAAGUGAGAGAGUGGCAUGGACAUAUAUUCACUACCAAAUGUAAAAUAGAUAGCUAGUGGGAAGCAGCUGC